UGAAAUAGCGGGGAGCUUGUAAUACAGGCUGAGAGGAAGGUGUGACCUUCGACCCAUGAACCUGAUUUGGAUAAUGCCAACGUAGGGAAGCCUGAACAAUCGCGC
rfam:Clostridium sp. CAG:1013 genomic scaffold, scf157